rnacentral:lncRNA from 1 species
UCAAACUCAGUUCCUUCCAAAUUCAUGUUCAAACACCGACAAGUUCAAGAACCAGACAUAUUUUUCCCAUAAGAAAUAAUGGAAAACCAAAUAAUUGGUUCUGAGGCCCAACAGUUACACUUAUAAAUUCAUUUUUCCAGGACUUUAACAAGUUUCGCAGUGAUUUCUUUCUUUAACUCUAUCGUGGUUCCCACAGUUUUCCUCUUAGCUUUACCGCUGGUAUCAUAACUUUCCUUGGAGCCAGGGUUACGAUAUUCUACCCAAAUAAAGCACACACACAAAAAAGCCGAGUGUGGAAUGUCUUAACACCCCGACACAAGCCCUGUGUGCAUCUGAGCGAGAGCGUCACUCGCACUGAGGCAUCUCCCCUCUGUGGCGAGACGCAACCUGUGACUCACUCUCAGCCCCUGCAGGUUUUCUCAAGUCGGAUUUUCGUUUCAACUACAGAGCAAAGUCCUGAACACCCAGCAGGCUUUUUUCGAACUUUGCUGUUCAAGUACCAGAAAAGUUCGAGCUGGGAGCCAUUCAACAAGCAAGGUGUCACUUCGUAUGAUAAAUAUGAGAUAAAUGACAAGUGGUAUUACAGUGUUUUUCCGAACAAAGAUUUCUCCAGAAAUCAAACAUCCCCUCUUUCCUGCUUGGAAAACAGCAUGUACAGUAAAGGACAUGUGAUGAGCCUCACGUAAAUACAAGGCACAGGGCAGUGUGGAGGUCAGGUUCCUAGACGCAGAUGUUUUACCAUCUGUAUCCAGCACCAAACCAGGAAUCCGAGCGCAGCCAAGCAGCCUGACGACUCGCUUGUGAUUGCCCAGAAUUCUAGUAGGGGCCAUGGAGAAAGAAAAUGGAGCGUGACGUUAAUAACUCUGGCGAUGGAGUGUGUGAGGCCCCCUUAGGCCUCACGUCAGCCCUCAGAACACACUUCCGGUGUCACGCGUGCUGUUACUGUGGCCACCGCACAGGGGUUACAGGUAAGUGGCCCCACCUGCGUUUUAGGAGGUGUGUCCUGAGAUGACGCCGCACCUGAGUGUGGUCUGCCACAGCAGGCUGCAGAGGGGCUCCCGGCCUGGGAAGGACGACUUCCCAGGGAAGGUGAGGGAGCAGAGGCCUCGGAACCGCACAGGUGGAGUUUCAGUGCUGGGACCGCUGCUGACAAGCUGGGUGACCUCAGGCCAGUACUGAACCUUCCCAAGAAGCAUCCGGACAGCUCCCUUCAGCAGGGCUUUGUCCUAAGGCAGGCAGCACGGGCAGGGGCUGUCCACUCGGCACACUUCGCAGCACUUGGGAGUAACACUGGCAGCAAACAAGCCGUGCGGCACCAGCCCCCCCCCUCCCCGUCUGGCUCCUCUCGGCUGCACCAUCACGGGAGUCGAGGUGGGAAAAAGGAUGCGACAGCUUGCGCCCUGUGGAAUAAGCACAUCUCACCUCUGCUGCAGGCUGGGACUGCAAGGCAGGGAAGGGGCUGGGGACACUUGUGCACAGUUUUGAUGACCACUCCAGGAAGAGGAAACUGAAGGUUUGAGGGGUUAAGUCAUCUGGUCAGGGUCCACAGCCUGUCCCCCGGAGCAGGACUCUACCCGCGCACCGUGCCCUGGGAUCUGACAAGACAGCGUCUGCAGACCUUGACAGUGCACCAGGCCUUCAGGAUGGGGCAGGAAGGCCCUGCCAGCGUGGGGGUAAACGCGGACCCUGUUUGUCUCCUGGGAUUGCGACCGGGGAAGCCAGGUGGGCCUAGAGGUUUCUGUCAAGCGUCUCAUCAGUGUCUGGCGUUGGUAAGAGCGGGGGAUCAGGCCGGGUGUGCGCGUGCAGGAAGUGAUGAAUGCGGUGCUUCAGACCCGGGUGCAGCGUCAGGUGAUGCUGAGGGGCAGCCAAGUGGGGCCCGCUGGGAGGGAAGGGCUCUAUGCGCCUGGGCGUGCGCAGCAUGCCAGACAAGCUUCCUACUUCUCUCCUCCUUUUGGCGGAGGCAACCUAGGGAGACCCGUCCGGAAAGAAAGAGGAAAAAAAAAAGAGAGGGGUGGGAUGUAGUUCAGGGCAUAGGCCCUGGGUUCAAUCCCCAGGAAAAAAAAGGAAAGAAAAAGAAAAAAGAACCAUUCCAUGAACCAUUCCCCAAGCCUUUUUUUUCUGAUUUUCUAGAUCCCCGGUAGGGGCGGCCCUCCUUGGGUCCCGGAUGGGCUCGGUCCAGUUACCAGUUCCAGGAAAGCUCCCAGCCCAAAGGGUCCGAAAGGCCUGCUGGUCGCCCUGCUCGGCUGUUCCGCCUGGGGACUCGCGCGCCGCCGCCGCUUGGGCGGGCGCAGGAGCCUAGGAGAGCGCGGGGCCCGCACGCGGGGAGCCCGGAGCGCGCGGGACAGAGCCUCGUGGGCCUUGCAUGCUGGCCGGGGAGUCGCGCU